rnacentral:lncRNA from 1 species
AUCGACGCAGUACUUGGCGAGCGCGAGCGCGUACUUCUCGCCCAUCAUGGACAGCCCGGAGUCGCCUCCGAUCUUUCCCUGGUAGUUGUACUCGCUCUGACCGUGCCUGGUGAGGUAAAUCGUCUGGUGCGUGGCGUGCAUGUUGGUCAGAAACUGAACGAUGCGGCCGCAGAGAAAGCCGUGGAUGUUGUUGAUCUCAACCUUCUUCCCGCAGUUUAUGAGCUUGAUGAACGACAGGUGCUCCUCGUCUAUGGGCUGGUACACGGCCUCGUAGUUCUCUAUCCGCUUUUUGAAAUCGUCGUACGCGCGUCGCUUGUCCGCCUCCGUCACGUAGUCCUCG